rfam:Serinicoccus chungangensis strain CD08_5 CD08_5_contig_8_consensus, whole genome shotgun sequence.
UGUUAAGUUUUUAAGAGCGCACGGUGGAUGCCUUGGCACGAGGAACCGAAGAAGGACGUAGGAAUCUGCGAUAAGCCUCGGGGAGUCGAUAACCAGACUGUGAUCCGAGGGUGUCCGAAUGGGGAAACCCGGCCAGCUUCAUCGCUGGUCACCCGCACCUGAAUAUAUAGGGUGUGUGGAGGGAACGUGGGGAAGUGAAACAUCUCAGUACCCACAGGAAGAGAAAACAACAUGUGAUUCCGUGAGUAGUGGCGAGCGAAAGCGGAUGAGGCUAAACCGUAGUUGUGUGAUACCUGGUAGGGGUUGCAGCUGCGGGGUUGUGGGAGUGGCGCGUACCGGGUCUACCAGCCUGGUGCACAGUAAGAAAUCGCGUGGUGUAGGUGAAGGGUCUGGAAAGGCCUGGCGUAGACGGUGAGACCCCGGUAGCCGAAACACCCGUGACUGUGUGUGCCGCCUCCCGAGUAGUACGGGGCCCGAGAAAUCCCGUACGAAUCUGGCAGGACCACCUGCUAAGCCUAAAUAUUCCCUCGUGACCGAUAGCGGACAAGUACCGUGAGGGAAAGGUGAAAAGUACCCCGGGAGGGGAGUGAAAUAGUUCCUGAAACCGUGCGCUUACAAUCCGUCGGAGCUGCAUUUCGUGUGUGGUGACGGCGUGCCUUUUGAAGAAUGAGCCUGCGAGUUAGUGCUCAGUGGCGAGGUUAACCCGUGUGGGGAAGCCGUAGCGAAAGCGAGUCCGAACAGGGCGGCCAUAGUCGCUGGGUCUAGACCCGAAGCGGAGUGAUCUACCCAUGGCCAGGGUGAAGCGCGGGUAAGACCGCGUGGAGGCCCGAACCCACUUAGGUUGAAAACUGAGGGGAUGAGCUGUGGGUAGGGGUGAAAGGCCAAUCAAACUCCGUGAUAGCUGGUUCUCCCCGAAAUGCAUUUAGGUGCAGCGUCAUGUGUUUCUUGCCGGAGGUAGAGCUACUGGAUGGCUGAUGGGCCUUACCGGGUUACUGACGUCAGCCAAACUCCGAAUGCCGGUAAGUGAGAGCAUGGCAGUGAGACUGCGGGGGAUAAGCUUCGUAGUCGAGAGGGAAACAGCCCAGAUCACCAGCUAAGGUCCCUAAGCGUGUGCUAAGUGGGAAAGGAUGUGGAGUUGCGAAGACAACCAGGAGGUUGGCUUAGAAGCAGCCACCCUUGAAAGAGUGCGUAAUAGCUCACUGGUCAAGUGAUUCCGCGCCGACAAUGUAGCGGGGCUCAAGCACACCACCGAAGCUGUGGCAUCAGCACUUUCGCUCAGCACCACCUGUUGUGGGUGGUGUUCAGGCGUGCUGAUGGGUAGGGGAGCGUCGUGCCGGGAGUGAAGCAUCCGAGUGAUCGAGGUGUGGAUCCGGCACGAGUGAGAAUGCAGGCAUGAGUAGCGAAUGAAGAGUGAGAAACUCUUCCGCCGAAUCACCAAGGGUUCCAGGGUCAAGCUAAUCUGCCCUGGGUAAGUCGGGACCUAAGGCGAGGCCGACAGGCGUAGUCGAUGGACAUCCGGUUGAUAUUCCGGAACCGGCGAAGAACCGACCCAUACCGAAUCCGGGGAUGCUAAGCGCCUGAAGCCGCCCCUACACUGUCCACCUUUCGAGGUGGGUGGUCGGGUGGUGGAACGCGUGACCCGAGCUGGUAGUAGGUAAGCGAUGGAAGGACGCAGGAAGGUAGCCUCCGCGUGGCGAUGGUUGUCCACGUCGAAGAGCGCAGGGCCGGGGAGUGGUAAAUCCGCCCCAUCAGUGCCCGAGGCUUGAUCGUGACCGCGUAUGCGGGAAGCAGGGUGAUCCUAUGCUGCCAAGAAAAGUUCCUAGCGAGGUUCGAGCCGCCCGUACCCCAAACCGACUCAGGUGGUGAGGUAGAGAAUACCGAGGCGAUCGAGUGAAUCGUGGUUAAGGAAUUCGGCAAAAUGCCCCCGUAACUUCGGGAGAAGGGGGGCCGGACGCGUGAAACCCCUCGCGGGUUAGCGCUGAAGGCCGCAGAGACCAGGGAGAAGCGACUGUUUACUAAAAACACAGGUCCGUGCGAAGUCGCAAGACGAUGUAUACGGACUGACGCCUGCCCGGUGCUGGAACGUUAAGGGGACGGGUCAACCCAACUUGUUGGGUGAAGCUCUGAACUUAAGCGCCAGUAAACGGCGGUGGUAACUAUAACCAUCCUAAGGUAGCGAAAUUCCUUGUCGGGUAAGUUCCGACCUGCACGAAUGGCGUAACGACUUCUCCACUGUCUCAACCGCGAACUCGGCGAAAUUGCACUACGAGUAAAGAUGCUCGUUACGCGCAGCAGGACGGAAAGACCCCGGGACCUUUACUAUAGCUUGGUAUUGGUGUUCGGUACGGCUUGUGUAGGAUAGGUGGGAGACUGUGAAGCAGCCACGCCAGUGGUUGUGGAGUCAACGUUGAAAUACCACUCUGGUCGUUCUGGAUAUCUAACCUCGGUCCGUGAUCCGGAUCAGGGACAGUGCCUGGUGGGUAGUUUAACUGGGGCGGUUGCCUCCUAAAGAGUAACGGAGGCGCCCAAAGGUUCCCUCAGCCUGGUUGGCAAUCAGGUGUCGAGUGUAAGUGCACAAGGGAGCUUGACUGUGAGACAGACAUGUCGAGCAGAGACGAAAGUCGGGACUAGUGACCCGACGGUGGCUUGUGGAAGCGCCGUCGCUCAACGGAUAAAAGGUACCCCGGGGAUAACAGGCUGAUCCUGCCCAAGAGCUCAUAUCGACGGCAUGGUUUGGCACCUCGAUGUCGGCUCGUCGCAUCCUGGGGCUGGAGUCGGUCCCAAGGGUUGGGCUGUUCGCCCAUUAAAGCGGUACGCGAGCUGGGUUUAGAACGUCGUGAGACAGUUCGGUCCCUAUCCGCUGCGCGCGUAGGAAACUUGAGGAGAGCUGUCCCUAGUACGAGAGGACCGGGAUGGACGAACCACUGGUGUGUCAGUUGUCCUGCCAAGGGCACCGCUGAUUAGCUACGUUCGGACGUGAUAACCGCUGAAAGCAUCUAAGCGGGAAGCACACUUCGAGAUGAGGUUUCCAUCACCCCCUAGGGGUGGAGAGGCUCCCAGCUAGACUACUGGGUUGAUAGCCCGGACGUGGAAGCACAGCAAUGUGCGUAGCUGACCGGUACUAAUAAGCCGACAACUUAACACA